GGCGAUGAUACGUAGCCGACCUGAGAGGGUAAUCGGCCACAUUGGGACUGAGACACGGCCCAAACUCCUACGGGAGGCAGCAGUAGGGAAUCUUCCACAAUGGACGCAAGUCUGAUGGAGCAACGCCGCGUGAGUGAUGAAGGGUUUCGGCUCGUAAAACUCUGUUGUUGGAGAAGAACGGGUGUCAGAGUAACUGUUGACAUCGUGACGGUAUCCAACCAGAAAGCCACGGCUAACUACGUGCCAGCAGCCGCGGUAAUACGUAGGUGGCAAGCGUUGUCCGGAUUUAUUGGGCGUAAAGCGAGCGCAGGCGGUUUUUUAGGUCUGAUGUGAAAGCCUUCGGCUUAACCGGAGAAGUGCAUCGGAAACCGGGAGACUUGAGUGCAGAAGAGGACAGUGGAACUCCAUGUGUAGCGGUGAAAUGCGUAGAUAUAUGGAAGAACACCAGUGGCGAAGGCGGCUGUCUGGUCUGCAACUGACGCUGAGGCUCGAAAGCAUGGGUAGCGAACAGGAUUAGAUACCCUGGUAGUCCAUGCCGUAAACGAUGAGUGCUAAGUGUUGGAGGGUUUCCGCCCUUCAGUGCUGCAGCUAACGCAUUAA
rnacentral:rRNA from 1 species